GACACUUUGGCCGAGUGGUUAAGGCGACACCCUGCUAUAUGACUAAAGUUUGGUUAGUCUGCAUCCAGGUGUUGGAGUUUCUCCGCGUGUGUUCGAAUCGCACAGGUGUCG